AGCUCAGUUCAGAGCAUUUUGAGAGGAGUGAUCAGAAAUAAUAAGUGGGAAAACAAACAAAAUGCAACAGACCUGAGGAGUUCACGUGCAUGUCUUUGGAACGAACAAAUACCUUUUCAAGAAACUAAGGGCAAGAUGUUCUUCCUUGAGCUUCCAAGAGCUUCUUUGCUUUCCCGUUCUGAUUCACAAGGAGGAGAUGAUCUCGACAGAAAAAAUAUGGUCUUUGGUAGAGUAUAUGGGACAGCUGGGAAUCCUGCAUCUAAGAAAUGCUGCAAUCAGGAUCCAGCUUUUAUAGGCUCUCGGAAAAGGAGAGAUGCUCUGGUAUCCACCUUGGGCUGAGACUGAGAUUCCCAAAUUCUAACAUGUGUUGAAGCAAAGCUGUGUGUAGAUAAUUCCUGAGUAGCCAAGCAGAUUGUCCUGGCUGAUACUGAAAGCUGUUGGUACAGCAACUUCUACUACUGCUCCCUACAGUGACUGCAGUGGGUAGUGAGCAAGAUGGAUUUGGGAACCACCAAGCUGGAUGUGUUUAUUCAACUGCUGACUGAGGUAAUGUGUUCUUACUUUAGUUGAAGAAGAACAAGAGAACACUAAUGAGCAUGGAGAAUAUACAGAAGUUAAUGAAAGCAACAUAAAUAGGUGGUGGAAAAAGAUAAGCCCUGUUAGCUGGGUGAAAAGGGAACUAGAGACCAUGGCCUGAGCAUACAAAAUGUAUUUGGUGUUUUUUUUCCCCUGUUUUCCUGACAAAUACAGCAAGAACUAAAUGCUGAGGAGAAAAAGCACCAUAGAAACAAAUAGCUAGGGACAUCUUUGCUUAAUAUGAACUUCCAGUGGAAACUGAAAAGUGGAGCAGCUAGCAUUAACCAUUUUUUAACACAGCUAUUCAAAUCUUGUUGAAUUACACAACUUGUAUUGAAAUAAAUAGGAACUGCUGGUCCUGAGUUUUAUUACAAAUUAGGCCACUUGAGAAAUAGUUGCAUAACUGGUCUGAAAUAAGUAAUUGCUGUAAGUCUGUAAGUUUAGAUGUUGCUGAAGUUUAAGCGGGUGGCUUAGUCUUCAGUACUUUUUUGCUUUAUUAUUAUUCAAGUAUGCAUCAAAUUUCUGUAAUCACUUUCUCAAGGAGCCUUAGAAUUGUCUACUGACACAAGUGAUCUGAAACAAUACAUUUGAGUAAGUGGGAAGCACACCAUUAGCACAUCCCUUGGUCCGUAGCUUACAAAACAGUAGUUCAAACUUUAGGACAUCUAGUACCAAAACAAAAACAUCGUGAUCUAGCGGCUGAAUCAGUAUAAACUCAAGCUGCCAAUACAACAUUGUUCAAAUGGGUUGGUCAUUAAUUUGUGGGACAGGUAACUUCAAGCUGUCCGGCUUUCUGUGGUUCUGCUGUUGUGUGCCUGACUCGACCUUUCCUAGUUUGCCCAGAUUUCUUUUUAAUAGCUCAUUUUUGUCAUUCCCACUUUCUAUGCUCAGAUAUAUUGUUUAAGUUUUCAGAUUCCCUAUCCUCAUUCCUUUUUUCAUUGGAUACUCACAGAACAUUCACUCAACAGAUUUUAUCUUUGUCACAGAUCCUGACCUAUCCAAAUGCUCAGAAACUUGUGACCACCUCCUUUUUGUUGUUGUUUUUAAUCGUCUUUUUUUUCCUUUGGCCUCUGUAUGAGCUACAUGGCUGCAGUUGCCACAUCUUUAUGACGUGCUCUGUCUCUGUGGCUCUAAACAGAGGCUGUACCAUCUGCCUCCUUCUGGUCUGGCCUGAUACUUUCCUCUCUUUGGAACUGCCCAACUCAAUUUUGAAGAAGGAAAUGCAAAUGACUUGGACAUCAAUUCUGGUCAAAAACUGGUGGUAAACUAAAGCCAUGUGUGAAAAGUUGGCAUUUCUCUUUUCCCCAACUAAUUGUUAAUCAUGUGACAAAUUGGAGAUGGUGUAUCAGAGGGGAUAGGAUUUUAGCUCAGGAGAGUGAAGCUCUGUCUCUAGACAUUUCCCAUAACAGUGAGAUUUUCUGUCAGCUACAGCAGCCAUCACUUCUCUCUCCACAAAUUCAGUAUGCCCACGCAUGCCUUCUAUAGUAGCAACUCUGUCACCUUCUUGUCAUCCUAAGAAUGAGCAGACUUGACUCUAUCAGCAAGCAGCCUUGAUAGCCUAUCUGGAUACACUGUGCAUUUUUUCUGGCUGGAAGGCUAGCAAAUCACUUUUUAUGGGAACUUUGGAGUGGCAAGGAUAGUCUUUUGGGGCAUAUUUUCUUGCCCAAAGAGUAUUGGGUGAACUGCUAGGAACAAAAACUAUAUGCCUUAGCCAAAAGAAGAAAUUGCUCUUCAGAGGAUUGGAUACAUGGGGACAGGAAGAAAGAGAGAGAGAUGUGUUUAUCACAGAGAAAAGCUACCCAAUUGAGGAAAGUCUAGCAUGCUUCACUGUUUACCAUGAGCUCAGGGGACCAGAGAUCUUCUGAAGUGUGUAUCAUCUCCAGAAUUUCACUGGAUGCUUGCGUUCUCCAAACAAUCUCCAAUCUAACAAGCAAUGCUAUCAUGCAGUUGGUGAUACCCAGCCUCCAAAUAAUUGCAGAAGUCUGCUUCUCAGCUAAGUAACACUACUCAUGUCUGUUUCUACACUUCGUAUGUUCAGAAGAGAUCUCUGUCCUCUGUUCUGUUUCUUUCUAUUGUCAUUGCCCCCCAAGAAUAGCUUAAGACCAAAUUAAUGGUAAGGAGGCUAAAUGGACUUUGAUACUAAUGCAUUUCUAGUCACAGAUAAAUAUUAAAUGUUAAGAAGUCACAUGAGCUUGCUAUCCUGCAGCAGGGAAGAUGAUGUGGCCCAGAAGAAAGUCAGGUGGGUCAGUGCAGUCAUCCAAGCUGUGUGGUGGGGAAAUCCAGGCGUGAUGCCCUGGGAUCCCUACUUCUAACACUGAAGCACUUCUGCUACCUCACGUGGGCCUUCUGCUAGGUCCAAAAAUGCCAGACCUCAUCAGCAGUGCUCACAGCCUUCCCCUCCAGGAAGUUUUCCACACCAUGACAAAGGUGCAUUAGUUAAAAGGUCAGUUAUAGGGAAGUAACCAGAAGGUAAAUAAGUGUUUAAACAGUCCAAACUCUGUGCAGAUUUGGCCCCGAAGUGGCACAUUGGUCUUGGAAGAUGAAGAUGAAAAUGGCAACCUCAACUAAGUUUAUAUUGUUAGAUGAUCAAGCAACAGGUAGAUCUUUCUUAACUGUCACAGAACUAUGACCUGAAAUUCAGUUAGAGCCAAGUAUGAGUAUGUUGAUUACUAUCAUAGGGCACUGCCACAAUCCUACUCCAACAGUUGAUCACUUAUUUAGCAAAUGUUAAUGAAUCACAAUGAUAUUUUAAAAUGCUGUGGAAUAUGGAAAUUUUAUUGCAAAUGUUAAUAUUUGAAAUUAUAAUAUUUACUAUUAUAACUAUAUACAAAGC
ensembl:lncRNA